rnacentral:rRNA from 1 species
UGGCUCAGUAACACGUGGAGAAUCUAACCUUUGGUGGAGGAUAAUCUCGGGAAACUGAGAAUAAUACUCCAUAAACAUAGGAUGCUGGAAUGCUUCUAUGUUGAAAGGCAACGCCAAAGGAUGACUCUGCGACCUAUCAGGCUGUAGUGAGUGUAAUGGACUCACUAACCUGCAACGGGUACGGGUGUUGGAAGACAUUGCCCGGAGAUGGACUCUGAGACAUGAGUCCAGGUUCUACGGAACGCAGCAGGCGCGAAAACUCCGCAAUGUACGAAAGUACGACGGGGGAAUUCUGAGUGCUUACGCCUUGCGUAGGCUGUUUUCUUGUCUAAAAAACAAGGAGAGUAAGGGCUGGGUAAGACGGGUGCCAUCUCGUGCAAUUCUGCACUUAUUGUGUUCGUUGCACGAAGCACAAGCCGCCGCGGUAAUACCCGCGGCCCGAGUGGUGCUCAUUAUUAUUGAGCCUAAAACGUCCGUAGCCGGUUUAAUAAAUUCUUGGGUAAAUCAUAUCGCUUAACGAUAUGAAUUCUGAGAACACUGCUAAACUCGGGAAUGGGAGAGGCCAGAGGUACUUUCAGGGUAGGGGUAAAAUCCCGUAAUCCUGAGAGGACCACCGGUGGCGAAGGCGUCUGGCUAGAACAUAUUCGACGGUAAGGGACGAAGCCCUGGGGCGCAAACGGGAUUAGAUACCCCGGUAGUCCAGGGUGUAAACGCUGUAGAUUUGGUGUUGGAAAUCCUACGGGGAUUCCCAGUGCCGGAGAGAAGUUGUUAAAUCUACUGCUUGGGGAGUACGGUCGCAAGACUGAAACUUAAAGGAAUUGGCGGGGGAGCACCGCAACGGGUGGAGCGUGCGGUUUAAUUGGAUUCAACGCCGAGAAACUCACCGGGGGCGA